rnacentral:lncRNA from 1 species
AGGUGAGGGGAGGCUCGCGGGCAACCGGCUGCAGCUCCCAUGGGGGCUCCAAGCCCCACAGGUGACGUCUGACACGCCUGCCCCUCACCCAUCUCAGGGCCAGACCUGGGCUCUGUUCCCAGGGCCCGGGCCACCGUGACGUCUGCAUAACACACUUCAAAGGGGCACAGGGCUGGGGAGGCCUGGCUGUUUCUUGGACAUCAAACAGCGCUUGCAAAAUAGUUAAUGACUUAUGAAUGAAUCAGAACCAGAUGGAUUCAGUUUCCCCCAGAAUGCAUCCUGAAGACCUCUUACACAUACCCACCCCCGAGAACACUCAGCCCUCCCCGGGGAUGCGGUCUUGGCCACAGGGGCUGGGGGCUGGGGAAGCCCGUGUGCUUUUAGCCCAUGAGACUCCCCAGCUCCUCAUUCCUUCCUUUCUCCUGGUUGCCACUCUUCCUAGAAGGAGAUCACCCAUCAGAGCCCUGUCACAGGGCUGAGUGACAUCAGACCAUGGGCUCUCUGGUUAGGCUGGGAGGCCGUGUAUAAGUUCAAGUCACUCUCCUGCCCAUCCGUCCUGGCGGUGGUCGGGUCUAAGUGUCACCUUGGGCCUCAUGCUCCACUGUCACCCUGGGCCUUGCCGCAGUCUUGCUUUUGGAGGAGGAGGUGUGUUGUUAUUGGACUUGCUUUCAUAGAAACAAUAAUCAGACACCUUAAAAAAUUGUAAGUAUUGCUUUGUGUGUCACUAUAGCUCAAUAGAAAACCCACGGAAAACAGACACCAGCAAUCCUCAGGAAAAAAACAAAUGGACAGUCAGAAGUGGUCUGUUUGGUGGUUGUAAUAAUUAGAAAUUCACUGGGAGGUUGUUCUGUGCCUGAAAUGCAGUGGCUCUUGAGAUCAGUGGUGUCCAUCUGUGUGCAUCCGCACGUGAGAGAGACAGAGCCAGACAGAGACAGAGACAAAUAGAGAGAGACAGAGAAAGAGACAGAGACAGGGAGAGACAGAGACAGAGAUAGAGAGGGACAGAGACAGAGAGACAGAGAGAGACACAAAGAGAGAGGAACGGAGAGAGAGAGGGACAGAGAGGGGGAGAAAGACAGACAUAAAGAGACAGAGAGAGCGAGAAAGAGAGAGGGAGAGAGAGAGGGACAGAAGGAGACAGACAGGAGACAGACACAGACCGGGAAGUGAGUCCACGCUGCCCUGUGGUGUGGGUGUUUCGUAAGGUUUUUACUGGCUCCCACCACUGUGUACAUAGGGCCCUAUUAGCAGUUGCUUGGCCAAGAAUAAAGAAUCUCUAAUUCUGUUUUAGAAAUACAAUUUAAGGAGCUGGAGUUUAAAAUAACUGUCCUGAGCUUCGGAAAACUCAUCUCUGGAAACCAUCCAUGGAAGGAUGUUUGUAUCCCCAGAGGGUCUCAUGGGGCAAAAAGCAAGUCAGAUUUUUCUGCAUUUCAGGCAGCGGCUCCUGAAAGGUGCCUCAUGCAUCUCUUUCAGACAGUGACUGCCUUGCUUUUGCGAGAGCCAGGGCCCCUCCAGUGCCCUCAGUCACAUUCUCAACUGCAACCAGAAGGUUUAAAAUCCAGUACUUUGAGUGCUGUAUACCCUCCAUGUGUGUCUGAUUCUGCUUUGUGGAAGCAGCUUGUGUCAGAGAUGCAGCAAGUCCAGCUCCUAAUGCUUAGUGCAGGGGAGGAGACGGGGAGACCGAUAACGCUGCCUUGUCUGCAGGGCAGCCCUGCCUUUUACUUUCAGCCCUUUCUAAAAAUGGCACAUGCAAAGUAAGAAAACAAGUUUAUCUGUUGCUGGGAGGAACACAGGCGGGAGAGGAGUCUAGUCUCCAGCUUGGUGUGAUUUUAUUUUUAUCUUUCACUUUUGCAGCAGAACAUCAGGGGGCUAGUGCAAAGCCAGGUCGGCCUGGGCUUCAGGUAGCAUCAUCAGGGUCAUAGAGGUUGAUUUCACCUGGCCCGGGAUGGGGACCGUGUGAAGUUGGGGGUUGAGGAUGAGGAGACUCCUCCGUGGAGUCUCUUUAGAAAAGCCCAGUUGCAUGUGUCUUUGUAACUCAAGAAGACACCAACCCCCGACUGUCCUUCUCUUGAGGCGGUCAGUCAGUUCACAGGGCACUGGUCUGGGAUGUGGGCAGAUAAGCAGCCGGGCCUGCUCCAAGACCCCAGUUGUCCUGCAGCUUCUGCACUUGCCAUCCUGUCUCUGUGCUUCUUAUUUGCACAAGCUCAGGGUAGGGGGGUUGGAGGCAGGAACCAGCAUUUGGAUUCAUGGCUGGGCAAUCCAGAACAGUCGAAGAACCAGGAGAUAAUUUAUGUUUUGUUCUGGGUUACUUAUUUUUAUGGAGUGAUAGUGAGAGAAAUAAUGACUUUAGUUUCCUAAGUAUAAACUCCUUGCGCCGGUAUUAAAAUUCGCAGUUGUUUGCAUUUGCUGAGUGCAUAUCCGCUGUGGGGGAAGAGAACCCAAGGCAAAGUGUGGCAGGGGGUUGAGGGGGAGAAGCCAGGAAUUUAGGUGCUGCUGUGGCUUCUCUCAAAACAGAUUCUAACGACCACAGACUCUCCGAGUUACAUUAAUUGUACCUGAGAAAAAGUAGGCAGGUCGAUGUUUGAUGAAAUCCUGUUAUGAUUGCUUGCAAAGGAAGUUAUUGCCAACACAAUUCUGGAUUUUAACGGAUCUGAUCUGCUUAAAGCAUGAUGCACCCAUGCACACAGUAAGUCAGUGCUUGAGACGAGAGACCUGUUCAGAGAGUCAGACUUAGUUCUUGGAAUGCAGAACUUGGCAUUUUAGAGAGAGGAUGCUUUGUCCUGCUCAGACUUUACUGCUGUUGGCAUCUUGCCAUCACCUGGAGUGUGGUCUCCGCUGUUUCUGAUCAGCUGCCCUCCUUCCUCUGCAUGCUUAUUGCGCGCUCUGCAUCUGGGGUGAUGCUUAAGCGGAGGUUAGGAAGGUGAACAGUUAGGUGUGAUUUCUGCCUUUGUGGAGCCUAAAGGCUGGCGGGAGACACUGGCAGAGGACACAGAACUGCUGGGCACCAGGCCUUCUCUCCUCUGAUGCUCUGAUGACAGGACCAACCUGGAAGACCCUGGAGCUGGUUCUGUCACCUGGCCCUUGGAGGUGUUUGCAAUUUCCCCAUGUUUUGUAUUGUUAGGGCACCUUACUUUUUGGAAUGAGCAUCACGAUGGCUCUGCUGGUAUCACAGUCGUAAAAGGAACCAUAAACCACCCAGUGCUGCCUCCCACGGCCACACUCUUGGGGCUGGGGCCUCUUUAGGCAUUUUCCAAGAGGAACGGUCCAUGGGGCCCCUGCUACCUCCUGUUCUCAGAGAGCCAAGGAGUGGGGUGAGUUCCAGCUGCCUGGACAGCCCCUGCUUCAGGGUGGAGGUAAGGUCGACCCUGGAAGUCAGUGCCUGGAGCCAAGGGGGCACCCCUACCCAGGCUCUGCGAGGCCGCCUCUCGGGGCUGCUGGCUCUCUGCCUUUGGGCUGUAGCCGUCACCCCUGCCUGGUGUCCUGUCAGCGCGGCUCUAGGAGCAGCUGUGGGGGCUGCCUGGGAAGGAGGCGGCGAGCUUGCUGCUGGUUACACAUGGACAUGGAGACAUAGCGGCUUUAUUUUUAGGCUUCGCUAAUUCUCGCUCUCCUCCUAGUUCUCAGCUCCCUGGCAACAGCUUGUUGUCAUGGCAACGCCCAUGUUAAUGAGUGAGGCUCUCGGUGUGUCUGUUCCACCCCGGCCAGGACAGUGGUUCUGCCUGGAGCCCAGGAGAGGAUGGAGGGUUUAUAGUUUUGCUUACAUGGCCCUGAUGCCAUCUCGGUUUGCAGGCCUCUCCUCCAGCCGGGCCCACAUGGUCUGCCUGGGGAUGCAGCUGGUCAUCAGGGCCUGGUCCUGAAUUCUCAAGGGAGGACACUUCCAACAAGUCCUGGGCGGCUCCUUCCACCCUGGACAUGGGCAGGGACCACUUCUUCGGUGCCUCCUCCCAGUCCCUGCUGCCUUGAAGGACUGGAUUAUAAUUCCCUUGAGGACGGAAGAGGCCUCGAAGUGCUUCCUACCUGCUUCCUCAUAUCAGCAUUCCUUCCAAGAAAGGCCCAGGCUCUUAAUGCACAAUUAGAGAUAAAAGGCUGAAACCGGAGGAGGUGAUGCUUGGAGUGGGCGUUUCUCAGUUGAAAUAUAAUCAGUCCAACAACUAGGAUAAUUGACUGGUUAUCAAACCAUUUUUGCUUUUGAUGGUAGGAAAGGAGAGAAGUUAUUUGCAAGGCAGAGAUUUUGUAAAUAAAGAGAAGAGCCACCACUCCAGGAAAGUUUAGAGCAGUGAUUCUCCCUCCUGCAAAAUUAUCUCGGGAGGGGCGUUCAAAACAUAUCCACUUCCUCUGCCUCAGCCCAGGGAUUGGAAUUCAGUGGGGCCCAACACCCCAAGAUGAUUGCCGUACUGGUUGAACCACUACAACCCAGUUGCAGUCAGAUUAAACCACUGAAAGAUGGAGGCAGACUUGCAGACCCCAGCAUGGAGUUCACUGUUUCUCAGGCCUGGACCAAUGGAAGACAUGUCCUAACUUUAACCUGCAGUGCUACGUUCUGAAAUAUACAUCAGGAAUUGAGAAGUUUAGGUGCUUAAAAAAAAAAAAAAAAAAAAAAA